rnacentral:rRNA from 1 species
AAAAACAUCUCUAUUAUAAUAAUUAAUAGUAAAAUCUGCUCAAUGAAACUUUAAUAGCCGCUAUUAGUGCUAAGGUAGUAAAAUAAUUUGUCUUUUAAUUUAAGACCAAACAAAAGAUUUAACAUUUUAAUUAAUGUAAAAAUUUAUAUAUUAAAAUUUUUUUAAUUUUUAAAAAAAAACUAUUAAAAAAAAAGACGAUAAGACCCUAUUGAACUUUACUUAAGUUAAACUGGGGUAGUUAUUUAAAUAUAUUUUAAUUUAUAUUAUAUAUAAAUAUGACCUAUUAAAAUUAAUUAAAAAACUAAGUUACCAUAGGGAUAACAGCGUAAUAAUUUUUAAAAACUUCUAUUUUAAAAUUAGAUUACGACCUCGAUGUUGAAUUAAUACUCUAACAUUUAAACGCAAUAGUUUAUGAAGAAAGUCUGUUCGACUUUUAAACAAUUACAUGAUCUGAGUUCAAA